ensembl:lncRNA
GCAAGUGUUUUUUUAAUUAAUUUAUUAUUAUUAUUAUUAUUUUUUUUUUUUUUUGUAAUGUAGACUUCCUAUAAAAUAUUUGUAUAAAAUAUUUUUGUACAAAAAAAUAUUUGCUUAUGGAAUAUUUCACCCUCAUAGAUUAAUAGCCUGCACGUGGGAUCUUCCUUUGCACCAACAGUCGUUGUCCUGACAACGAGUCUCAGCUGAUUACUGAUAAUGCACAAAGACAUAACAACAUUACACCCCAAGACCGUUCACAAGUGUGAGAGAAGAGAAGAAACAGUUUCUGGAAGAGAAGUUCAUCAGGCGAGUUGGAGCAUUGACUUUGUCGAGUCAUCCAGUUUAGCGGGGAAGCAUGUACAGACUGAACAGCAGGGGACCAAGCACAGAACCUGGCGGGACACCACAGGACGAAGGAACAGAAUCUGACAUGAAAGAUCCUGAGGACACUGAAAAACUCCUGUCAGAAAGAUAGGAGGUAAACCAAUCCAGAGCAGAUCCAGAAAUGUCCACUAGAGAGUUUAUUCUAUCAAUCAGAGUUCUGUGAUCAACAGUAUCAGAUGCGGCACUGAGAUCCAACAAGACCAGCACAGAACAUUCUCCUGCAUCAG